GACGAACGCUGGCGGCGUGCCUAAUACAUGCAAGUCGAGCGGACAGAAGGGAGCUUGCUCCCGGAUGUUAGCGGCGGACGGGUGAGUAAUACGUGGGUAACCUGCCUGUAAGACUGGGAUAACUCCGGGAAACCGGAGCUAAUACCGGAUAGUUCCUUGAACCGCAUGGUUCAAGGAUGAAAGACGGUUUCGGCUGUCACUUACAGAUGGACCCGCGGCGCAUUAGCAAGUUGGUGGGGUAAUGGCUCACCAAGGCGACGAUGCGUAGCCGACCUGAGAGGGUGAGCGGCCACACUGGGACUGAGAGACGGCCCAGACGCCUACGGGAGGCAGCAGUAGGGAAUCUUCCGAAAUGGACGAAAGUCUGACGGAGCAACGCCGCGUGAGUGAUGAAGGUUUUCGGAUCGUAAAGCUCUGUUGUUAGGGAAGAACAAGUGCGAGAGUAACUGCUCGCACCAUGACGGUACCUAACCAGAAAGCCACGGCUAACUACGUGCCAGCAGCAGCCGCGG
rnacentral:rRNA from 1 species